GCCUACGGGGGGCAGCAGUGGGGAAUAUUGGGCAAUGGAGGCAACUCUGACCCAGCAACGCCGCGUGAAUGAUGAAGGUCUUCGGAUUGUAAAGUUCUUUUCUAAGGGAAGAAGAAGGUGACGGUACCUUAGGAAUAAGCCUCGGCUAACUACGUGCCAGCAGCCGCGGUAAUACGUAGGGGGCGAGCGUUAUCCGGAUUUACUGGGUGUAAAGGGAGCGUAGACGGUUCUGCAAGUCUGAAGUGAAAGCCCGUGGCUUAACCGCGGAACGGCUUUGGAAACUGUGGAACUGGAGUGCUGGAGAG
rnacentral:rRNA from 1 species